UAGAGGCAAUAAAGAAAAACACAAACCGAGGGAAUUCUGGAAAUAAAAAAAUCUGGGUAAACAAACAGGAACUACAGAUGCUUGCAUAGCCAACAGAAUAUGGAAGAGAAACUCUCAGGAGUUAAAGAUAUGAUAGAGGAAAUAGAUUCAUCAGUCAAAGAAAACGUGAAAUCCAAAAAACUCUUAACACAAACAUCCAGGAAAUCGCUUCUUUGAUCUUUACCUAUGAGAGAAGCUACUCUGCAGUGUGCAGCAGUCAAUUCCAAACUACUCCGAGUGCUGAGAAUAAGUGACUAUUGAGUACUCAGCCCUAAAGGAGACACCUGUGUUCAUCCAUUGUCCCCAAGGCUCGGGGAGCAUCACAGGAGCGAGGGGAGACAGGAUGCCAGAGCUGGAGAAUGAGAAUGAGCGCUGUAUAAUGGACAAGAUGUGGCCAUUACACUCACGAAGUCACAGCAGUUAUGCUUACCCACACAAGUUGAAGAUAUGAUCUCUCAGCUUCAGGCUCUGGCUUCCUGCUGCUAUGCCCUCUCCACCAUGGUGGACUCCAUUCCACUGGAACCAUGAGCCGAAAUAAACCCUGUCUUCCGUAAGUGCUUUUGGACCUGAUGCUUUACCACAGCAACAAAAGGCAACUAACACAUGGUCCUGUACCCACGUGCAUGCCGGCGGCACUAACUGGACUCGUAUUCUGUCUACAUGUAUGCCUGCAGGCCAGAAGAGGGCACCAGA